ACAGCCAACAAUAAAAUAAUAGUUUCUGCUGUGUCACUUGUGUGUCAGUAGGUGGCAGAGAGAAGAGAGGCUAUGUCUACUCUCAGUGUUCUGAGGUUUGAAAACCUGAAUGAUUACUAGCCUAACAUU